rnacentral:tRNA from 1 species
GCCCUCGUAGCACAAAGGAUAGUGCAAGAACCUCCUAAGUUCGAGAUCCGGGUUCGACUCCCGGCGGGGGCU